GACAGAGGUGCCGAGCGUUAGGCGGAAUCACUGGGCUUAAAGCGUGUGUAGGCGGAUCGUUAAGUACCUUGUGCAAAUCCCACGGCUUAACCGUGGAACUGCUGGGUAUACUGGCGAUCGUUGAGGUGCUCAGGGGCGAGCGGAACGAGAUGGUGGAGCGGUGAAAUGCGUAGAUAUCAUCUGGACGCCUGCGGUGAAAACGGCUCGCUG
rnacentral:rRNA from 1 species